GUCAAAGUGCACCUGGGCUGUGCGAUCUGUGGAACUGGAAUUAAUGUCAACCACAGCUAGAGCAAUCAUCCGAGGAUGCCGCUGAAAGUGUACCAGCGAGCAGAAGCUUGGGCUACUUUAUUGCAGACCAUGCUUGGGAUAUUAUGGAUAGCGGCAUCAUUUAAACUUGCAGAAACUCUUUAUCAAACACAGACUAUUAACAUCACAACACCUGGGAAUUCUACUCGAAUUAGUCUGGCCCCAUACGGACUAAAUGCAACAGGCCGGACUUAUUUAACCUUCAGAGUAAGGGCAUGUGGACCCGCGUCUAUCAUCCUCACAGACGUAGAAACGAACGCGCCGGUAAGUUCCACGAGUGAAUUCAUCUUUGGGAAUAAAGACAACACGAAAAUGUGAAUUUAAGGCUGACAUCUUCACAAAGUUUUCCUAUCCGUGUUCGAAUCUCUGUAACGAUUCCAACGAGUACUGGAUAUCGUGGGGAGAUGAUAAUGAUGACCUAAUUCAGGAGUGGAGAAUGGGGCGUGGUACUGUGGUGCUGACCAGUAUCAUUGGAACCAAUCCCUUUAACUUCCGCUACCCUGAGUAUAUCAGCAUCUCUUCAGAGAAUUAUCCCGCUGAUUGGCAAUUCGAUGUUAAUUACACAAACACCUUGGAACAAGCGCCGACAACACCGGAUACAACAACAAGUCAACCUACGGAAUCCGUGACAGUUGAAAUAACAGAGAUCGCAACAGUUGAGGUUACAGAAACAGUAACGGUUGAGGACACUCCGAUGACCUCUAACCCUUCAAUAACGUCAUUUCCUCAGACCACCCAGUCUUCCACAAAUGGAGUAAAUGGAAGUUUAUACUGUUACUGCUCUUUGAACAAAUCAUGCGAGACAAAGCACUAUUCAGAAGAAGAAUUAGCGCAGAUGCUCCAAAUACUCGUCCAGGAGCUGAAAGUCAGCAUCAAAGAUACGAAUGCUUACAGACGACGACUGAUUUCCGCGCCCGACGACCGACCGUCUGCUCAGAGAAUGGGCGGCGUGGGAGCGACGGUCAUUUGUCUGGUUAUUCUCGGAAUCGUCCUCAUGGAUUUUCCUCGCGUCGUUCAUUUUUUUCGCGGAGAAGACAAAAAGAAACUCGAAUACGAAAGAAAAUUGUCUAAAAGUAAGAAAAGCCGCAGAUCUAGAAGUAAAAAUUAAAUGCAGUCGACAACGUUGUUAGUUUUUGUUAUAUAUAUAAUUCGCAGAAGUCAUGCAUUAAGUGCGAUUUUAUAUAUGUUGCAGGAUACAUCGUUAGUGUAUCCGCAAUCAUUUACCGCUGUUAUUGCUCUUGGGUAGAUUAGUUUUAUUGACGAAACAAAUGAGUACACGUCUACAUUUAAUCUUAUAUUGUCAGAUCUAUACGAAAGCAAAGAAGAUUCGAAACCUGAGAUUUUAAAUAUGAAAUUUAAUAUCUACCUAAAAAUAAUUGUUAUAUUUUCUCUGAUGUAAUUGUUAGAUUGACUUGGAUAAAUUAUUCCACGCUAAAUAAGUUAAUAAUUCAGGGAUAAUACCUCAAGUUUCACGAAUGAGCCUUUUUUGCUUUCAUAGUCCUAAUUAAAAUGUUUGCAUAUC
rnacentral:misc_RNA from 1 species